rnacentral:ncRNA from 1 species
UACACUUGCCGCACUUUUGGUGCUCGCGCCGCCUUUCUUGCGGCGCAGUCAAACGGGAAACAGGAAGCGUUGUCUCGCAUGAGCGACACGCGCCAACCUGUGCUGCCCCCGCAACGGUAAGCGACCGCAACGCAAGUUGCAAGUCGUCCCUCGCGCGUUUCUUCUCGUUGCUCCGUGGUCGUUUGCCAUCAGAGACGCGACUGCAAGAAACGUGUCGGCGCCACUGCGCUUCAAGCGCGGGAAGGCGGGACGAUGCGUCGUCAGCCCGGAUACCGGCCAAUCGUCCAGCGCGCCGA